UGAGAGCGGCGUACGGGUGCGGAACACGUGUGCAACCUGCCUUUAUCUGGGGGAUAGCCUUUCGAAAGGAAGAUUAAUACCCCAUAAUAUAUUGAAUGGCAUCAUUUGAUAUUGAAAACUCCGGUGGAUAGAGAUGGGCACGCGCAAGAUUAGAUAGUUGGUGAGGUAACGGCUCACCAAGUCAGCGAUCUUUAGGGGGCCUGAGAGGGUGAUCCCCCACACUGGUACUGAGACACGGACCAGACUCCUACGGGAGGCAGCAGUGAGGAAUAUUGGACAAUGGGUGAGAGCCUGAUCCAGCCAUCCCGCGUGAAGGACGACGGCCCUAUGGGUUGUAAACUUCUUUUGUAUAGGGAUAAACCUACCCUCGUGAGGGUAGCUGAAGGUACUAUACGAAUAAGCACCGGCUAACUCCGUGCCAGCAGCCGCGGUAAUACGGAGGGUGCAAGCGUUAUCCGGAUUUAUUGGGUUUAAAGGGUCCGUAGGCUGAUUUGUAAGUCAGUGGUGAAAUCUCACAGCUUAACUGUGAAACUGCCAUUGAUACUGCAAGUCUUGAGUGUUGUUGAAGUAGCUGGAAUAAGUAGUGUAGCGGUGAAAUGCAUAGAUAUUACUUAGAACACCAAUUGCGAAGGCAGGUUACUAAGCAACAACUGACGCUGAUGGACGAAAGCGUGGGGAGCGAACAGGAUUAGAUACCCUGGUAGUCCACGCCGUAAACGAUGCUAACUCGUUUUUGGGCUUUUGGGUUCAGAGACUAAGCGAAAGUGAUAAGUUAGCCACCUGGGGAGUACGAACGCAAGUUUGAAACUCAAAGGAAUUGACGGGGGCCCGCACAAGCGGUGGAUUAUGUGGUUUAAUUCGAUGAUACGCGAGGAACCUUACCAAGGCUUAAAUGGGAAAUGACAGGCUUAGAAAUAGGCUUUUCUUCGGACAUUUUUCAAGGUGCUGCAUGGUUGUCGUCAGCUCGUGCCGUGAGGUGUUAGGUUAAGUCCUGCAACGAGCGCAACCCCUGUCACUAGUUGCCAUCAUUAAGUUGGGGACUCUAGUGAGACUGCCUACGCAAGUAGAGAGGAAGGUGGGGAUGACGUCAAAUCAUCACGGCCCUUACGCCUUGGGCCACACACGUAAUACAAUGGCCGGUACAGAGGGCAGCUACACUGCGAAGUGAUGCAAAUCUCGAAAGCCGGUCUCAGUUCGGAUUGGAGUCUGCAACUCGACUCUAUGAAGCUGGAAUCGCUAGUAAUCGCGCAUCAGCCAUGGCGCGGUGAAUACGUUCCCGGGCCUUGUACACACCGCCCGUCAAGCCAUGGAAGUCUGGGGUACCUGAAGUUCGG
rnacentral:rRNA from 1 species